rnacentral:rRNA from 1 species
UACGGAGGGUGCAGGCGUUAAUCGGAAUUACUGGGCGUAAAGCGUGCGCAGGCGGUUUGUUAAGUCUGUUGUGAAAUCCCCGAGCUCAACUUGGGAAUUGCAAUGGAUACUGGCAGGCUGGAGUAUGGUAGAGGAAGGUGGAAUUCCCGGUGUAGCAGUGAAAUGCGUAGAGAUCGGGAGGAACACCAGUGGCGAAGGCGGCCUUCUGGACCAAUACUGACGCUCAUGCACGAAAGCGUGGGGAGCAAACAGG